UACAGAGGGGGCAAGCGUUAUUCGGAAUUAUUGGGCGUAAAGGGCGCGUAGGCGGUGAGAUGCGUCCGUUGUGAAAUCGCCCGGCUCAACUGGGCGGGGUCAGCGGAUACGGUCUCACUUGAGCAAGCUAGGGGGCAAUGGAAUUCCCGGUGUAGUGGUGGAAUGCGUAGAUAUCGGGAGGAACACCAGUGGCGAAGGCGGUUGCCUGGGGCUUUGCUGACGCUGAUGCGCGAAAGCGUGGGGAGCGAUCCGG
rnacentral:rRNA from 1 species